AUCCAGAUGAUGAGUCCCAAAUAGGACGAAAUGCACAUCCUGGAU
rfam:Trichobilharzia regenti genome assembly, scaffold: TRE_scaffold0059953